GGCUCAAUGGUCUAGUGGUAUGAUUCCUGCUUUGGGUUAGCUCAAGCCUGCAGGAGGCCCCGCGUUCGAAUCGCGGUUGAGCCC